rnacentral:rRNA from 1 species
UACAGAGGGGGCAAGCGUUGUUCGGAAUUACUGGGCGUAAAGGGCGCGUAGGCGGCCUUCUAAGUCGAACGUGAAAUCCCCGGGCUCAACCCGGGAACUGCGUCCGAUACUGGAUGGCUUGAAUUCGGGAGAGGGAUGCAGAAUUCCAGGUGUAGCGGUGAAAUUCGUAGAUAUUCGGAAGAACACCAGUGGCGAAGGACGACUUACUGGACGACUGUUGACGCUGAGGUGCGAAAGCGUGGGGAGCAAACAGG